UUGGUCUUAAUUGUCUUUAGUGUUUUCUAUGUUUGGACACGGUGAAUAGUGCACCGUGUCUAGACAUAGUGAAUGAUUCACUGUGUUCAGACACGGUGGAUGGAUUACUGUGUUUAGACGCAGUAAACCAUUCACUGUGUUCUUUUCAUAUUAAAUUACUUACCCUGCUGAAGCUAUCUUCCCCACCUUCCUUUCUCGUUCGAUCUCUUUUUGUCUCUCUCUCUCUCUCUCUCUCUGUGGCCCACCCUAAACUCCCUGCCGCCACCGCCGCCAGCACACUCUCUCGCCCGAGCUGUUUUCUACACCCUCAUUCUCUCUCUAAACUUAGAACCCCCUACCUCUCUCUUUCUCUCACUCUCUCACUGCACACACCUCCCUCCCCCCAACCCUUCUUACAGACCCCCCCACUUCUCACCUCUCUCUCUCUUCCUCUCACUCUCUCUGCACCCUAUCACCCCCUAAAGCCCCCUCACAAAACCCCCCCCUCUCUGACCCCUUCCCUCUCUCUCUCAUAGAGAUCUCUCUCUCUCACACAGUUCUCUCUCUCUCUCUCUCUCUCCGUCAUCACCCCCUUCCUUUUAGAGCUCUU
rnacentral:lncRNA from 1 species